UACGAAGGGGGCUAGCGUUGCUCGGAAUCACUGGGCGUAAAGGGUGCGUAGGCGGGUUUUAAGUCAGAGGUGAAAUCCUGGAGCUCAACUCCAGAACUGCCUUUGAUACUGAAAGUCUUGAGUAUGGGAGAGGUGAGUGGAACUGCGAGUGUAGAGGUGAAAUUCGUAGAUAUUCGCAAGAACACCAGUGGCGAAGGCGGCUCACUGGCCCAUAACUGACGCUGAGGCACGAAAGCCAGGGGAGCAAACGGG
rnacentral:rRNA from 1 species